UACGUAGGUGGCGAGCGUUGUCCGGAAUCACUGGGCGUAAAGGGCGCGUAGGCGGUUGUUCAAGUCGCAUGUGAAAUACCAGGGCUUAACCUUGGGGGUGCAUGCGAAACUGGAUGACUUGAGUGCAGUAGAGGUAAGCGGAAUUCCUGGUGUAGCGGUAAAAUGCGUAGAGAUCAGGAGGAACACCGGUGGCGAAGGCGGCUUACUGGGCUGCAACUGACGCUGAGGCGCGAAAGCGUGGGGAGCAAACAGG
rnacentral:rRNA from 1 species